rnacentral:rRNA from 1 species
UCCGGUUGAUCCUGCCGGACCCUACUGCUAUCGGGAUGGGACUAAGACAUGCUAGUCGUGCGCUUCUAAGCCAUGGUGGAGGCGCGGCGCACAGCUCAGUAACACGUGGUUAACCUGCCCUUGGGACGGAAACACCCCCGGGAAACUGGGGCUAAUUUCCGAUAGGUGAAGACUCCUGGAAUGGAUCUUCGCCUAAAGGGCGCUUAGGCCAUGCUUCUAGGCGCUGCCCAAGGAUGGGACCGCGGCCGAUCAGGUUGUUGGUGAGGUAAUGGCUCACCAAGCCUUUAACCGGUUCGGGCCGUGGGAGCGGGAGCCCGGAGAUGGGCACUGAGACAAGGGCCAAGGUCCUACGGGGCGCAGCAGUCGCGAAAACUCCGCAAUACGCGAAGGCGUGACGGGGCUAUCCCGAGUGCCGUCCGCUGAGGAUGGCUUUUCCCCAGUGUAGAUAGCUGGGGGAAUAAGGAGAGGGCAAGUCUGGUGUCAGCCGCCGCGGUAAUACCAGCUCUCCGAGUGGUGGGGACGUUUAUUGGGCCUGAAGCAUCCGUAGCCAGCUGAGCAAAUCCCCAGUUAAAUCCAGCGAUUUAAUCGUUGGACUGCUGGGGAUACUGUCC